GCCCGGAGAUAGCUGGUUCUCCCCGAAAUAGCUUUAGGGCUAGCCUCAAGGUGAGAGAUACGGAGGUAGAGCACUGAAUGUCCUAGGGGGUAUUGCACCUACCGAAGACUAUCAAACUCCGAAUGCCGUCAUCUUAUACUUGGGAGUCAGACUGUGGGUGAUAAGAUUCAUAGUCGAAAGGGCAACAGCCCAGAUCGUCAGCUAAGGUCCCUAAAUGUAAGUUAAGUGGUAAAGGAUGUGGGAUUGCACAGACAACCAGGAUGUUGGCUUAGAAGCAGCCACUCAUUCAAAGAGUGCGUAAUAGCUCACUGGUCGAGUGAUCCUGCGCCGAAGAUUUCCGGGGCUAAAACUUACUACCGAAGCUACGGCAUCAGUAAUGAUGGGUAGGGGA
rnacentral:rRNA from 1 species